UGGGGAAUCUUGCGCAAUGGGCGAAAGCCUGACGCAGCGACGCCGUGUGUGUGAUGAAGGUCUUCGGAUCGUAAAGCACUGUCGCCCGGGACAAAAGCCCGAAAGGGAUUGAUGGUACCGGGAGAGGAAGCACCGGCUAACUCUGUGCCAGCAGCCGCGGUAAUACAGAGGGUGCGAGCGUUGUUCGGAAUUAUUGGGCGUAAAGCGCAUGUAGGCGGGUUGUCAAGUCGCGUGUGAAAGCCCCAGGCUCAACCUGGGAAGUGCGCGCGAAACUGGCGACCUUGAGUGCUGGAGAGGGUGGCGGAAUUCCCGGUGUAGAGGUGAAAUUCGUAGAUAUCGGGAGGAACACCAGAGGCGAAGGCGGCCACCUGGACAGACACUGACGCUGAGAAGCGAAAGC
rnacentral:rRNA from 1 species